GGGGAAUUACCUAAAAUGGUAGAGCACUCGCUUAGCAUGCGAGAGGUAGUGGGAUCGAUGCCCACAUUCUCCA
rnacentral:tRNA from 14 species